GUUCUUGUGUUUUAACUUCUGGGCAAGAACAAUAGUUUCUCUUUCUCUUAUAAAUUUAUUUUAAAAAUGUAUAUAUGUAUAUGAAUGCCAUGUGCAAUGCUCUUGGAGGCCAGAAGAGGGCAUCAGAUUCACUGGAGCUGGAGUCACAGGCAGUUGGGAGCUGAGAGCCAAACUCAGGUCCUCUGCAAGAGCAGCACACACUUUUAACAGCUGAGCCGGAGCCAUCUUCUAACCUCAUGCUCAGUCUCUUGACAUCAUCUGGAUGUGGAGGGAGUAUGUGCUGGCCUCAUGUGCUGGGCAUCCACUGACUCUGAGCGUUGCUGAGAAUGGGACCCAGAGUCUGAUUCAUGCUAGGCAAGCACUCCAUCACGAGCGACGUCUCCCAGUCCCCAAGGCUUCAUCUUAAUCAUCUGAAAGUGCCAAAUAAGAUAAUCUGUGUGAAGUACCGGCUAGUCUUGGUAAACAGCAGGAGCCAAGCAAAUGCUCAGGACUGACAGACCUGGCCUUUGAGGACAGCAGGAAGCAAAUG